AGACAAUAGAUACCCAGGUAGUCCACGCCCUAAACGAUGUCGACUGGUUGUUGGGGGUUUGACACUCUCAGUAAACGAAAGCUAAACGCGUGAAGUCGACCGCCUGGGGAGUACGGCCGCAAGGUUAAAACUCAAAGGAAUUGACGGGGACCCGCACAAGCGGUGGAUUAUGUGGAUUAAUUCGAUGCAACGCGAAAAACCUUACCUACCCUUGACAUGUCCGGAAGGCUGCUGAAAGGCGGCUGUGCCCGAAAGGGAACUGGAACACAGGUGCUGCAUGGCUGUCGUCAGCUCGUGUCGUGAGAUGUUGGGUUAAGUCCCGCAACGAGCGCAACCCUUGUCAUUAGUUGCUACCCGCAAGGGAGCACUCUAAUGAGACUGCCGGUGACAAACCGGAGGAAGGUGGGGAUGACGUCAAGUCCUCAUGGCCCUUAUGGGUAGGGCUUCACACGUAAUACAAUGGCGCGUACAGAGGGUUGCCAAGGAGCGAUCUGGAGCCAAUCCCGUAAAGCGCGUCGUAGUCCGGAUUGCAGUCUGCAACUCG
rnacentral:rRNA from 1 species